rnacentral:rRNA from 1 species
UGGGGAAUAUUGGACAAUGGGGGCAACCCUGAUCCAGCAAUGCCGCGUGUGUGAAGAAGGUUUUCGGAUUGUAAAGCACUUUCGGCGGGGACGAUGAUGACGGUACCCGCAGAAGAAGCCCCGGCUAACUUCGUGCCAGCAGCCGCGGUAAUACGAAGGGGGCUAGCGUUGCUCGGAAUGACUGGGCGUAAAGGGCGUGUAGGCGGUUUGUACAGUCAGAUGUGAAAUCCCCGGGCUUAACCUGGGAGCUGCAUUUGAUACGUGCAGACUAGAGUGUGAGAGAGGGUUGUGGAAUUCCCAGUGUAGAGGUGAAAUUCGUAGAUAUUGGGAAGAACACCGGUGGCGAAGGCGGCAACCUGG